GAUGAACGCUAGCGGCAGGCUUAAUACAUGCAAGUCGAGGGGCAGCACGAAUAGCAAUAUUUGGUGGCGACCGGCGCACGGGUGCGUAACACGUAUACAAUCUACCUUAAACAGGGGGAUAGCCUUUCGAAAGAGAGAUUAAUACCCCGUAAUAAAUUGAAUGGCAUCAUUUGAUUUUGAAAGCUCCGGCGGUUUGAGAUGAGUAUGCGUCUGAUUAGCUAGUUGGUGAGGUAACGGCUCACCAAGGCGACGAUCAGUGGGGGAUCUGAGAGGACUAACUCCCACACUGGUACUGAGACACGGACCAGACUCCUACGGGAGGCAGCAGUAAGGAAUAUUGGUCAAUGGAGGCAACUCUGAACCAGCCAUGCCGCGUGCAGGAUGACGGCCCUAUGGGUUGUAAACUGCUUUUAUACAAGAGAAAACCCUGGUACGUGUACCAGGUUGAUAGUAUUGUAAGAAUAAGCAUCGGCUAACUUCGUGCCAGCAGCCGCGGUAAUC
rnacentral:rRNA from 1 species